GUCAUAUCUCUGGCAGCACAUAUACUGAAACAGGAAUGAUACAGAGAAGAUUAUCAUGCCUUGGGCAAGGGUGAAAUGCAAAUUUGUAAACCAUUCCAUUUAAAA